AGUGAACGCUGGCGGUAGGCCUAACACAUGCAAGUCGAACGGCAACACAGUAAGAGCUUGUUCUUACGAGAGGCGAGUGGCAGACGGGUGAGGGAUACAUCGGCAUCUACUUUUCCUUGGGGGAACAAGUAGAGAAACUUUCGAUAAUACCAUUAACGCCCUACGAGUGAAAGCAGGGGCACUUCGGCUAUUGCGCGGUUGUAUGGGCCGAUGUCGGAUUUGCGAGUUGUCGGGGUAAAGGCCCACUAAGGCGGCGACCCGUAGCUGGUCUGAGAGGAUGAUCAGCCACACUGCAACGGAGACACGGUGCAAACUCCGACGGGAGGCAGCAGUGAGGAAUAUUGAACAAUGGGCGGAAGCCUGAUCCAGCCAAACCGCGUGGGUGAAGAAGGCCUUCGGGUUGUAAAGCCCUAUUGUUGGGGAAGAAAAGCGUCAUGUUAAUACCCCUGUGUUCUGACGGUACCCAAAGAAUAAGCACCGGCUAACUUCGUG
rnacentral:rRNA from 1 species